rnacentral:rRNA from 1 species
GAUGAACGCUGGCGGCGUGCCUAAUACAUGCAAGUCGAGCGAACAGACGAUGAGCUUGCGCCUCUGACGUUAGCGGCUGGCGGGUGAGUAACACGUGGAUAACCUUCUUCUAAUACGGGGAUAACAUCGGGAGACCGGAUCUACUACCGGAUAAUAUAUUCAACCGCAGGGAUCAAUAGUUAUUCACGCCUUUCGUGUCACUUUUAGCUGAAUCCGCGCCGGCUUAGCUAGUUGGUAAGGUAACGGCUCACCAAGGCUACGAUGCGUAGCCGACCUGAGAGGGUGAUCAGCCACACUGGAACUGAGACACGGUCCAGACUCCUACGGGAGGCAGCAGUAGGGAAUAUUCCACAAUGGGCGCAAGCCUGACGGAGCAAUGCCGCGUGAGUGAUGAAGGUCUUCGGGUCGUAAAGCUCUGUUAUUGGGAAAGAAAAACUGUGUAAUUAACUCUGGACGUUUUGACGGUACCUAAACAGAAAGCCCCGGCUAACUUCGUG